GAUGAAGAACGCAGCGAAAUGCGAUAAGUAAUGUGAAUUGCAGAACUCAGUGAAUCAUCGAAUCUUUGAACGCACAUUGCGCCCCCUGGUAUUCCGGGGGGCAUGCCUGUCCGAGCGUCAUUACAACCCUCAAGCCCCCGGGCUUGGUGUUGGGGAUCGGCGUGCCCUCGCGGCGCGCCGUCCCCUAAAUCUAGUGGCGGUCUCGCUGUAGCUUCCUCUGCGUAGUAGCAACACUCGCACUGGAUCGCAGCGCGGCCACGCCGUUAAACCCCCCACUUCUGAAAGUUUGACCUCGGAUCAGGUAGGAAUACCCGCUGAACUUAAGCAUAUCAAUAAGCGGAGGA
rnacentral:misc_RNA from 1 species